AGCUCCAAUGGCGUAUAUUAAAGUUGUUGCAGUUAAAAAGCUCGUAGUUGGAUUUCUGGCAGGAGCGACCGGUCGGCCCAUUGUGGUGUGUACUAGUGUUGCAUCUGGCCAUAUUUGUGGAGAGCGUGUGUGGCAUUAAUUUGUCGUGCUCGGGACCCGCAUCGUUUACUGUGAGAAAAUUAGAGUGUUCAAAGCAGGCUUAUGCCUUGGAUAUGUUAGCAUGGAAUAAUAAGAUAAGACUUUGGCGGUCUAUUUUGUUGGUUUGCACGCCAUUGUAAUGAUUGAUAGGGACAGUUGGGGGUAUUCAUAUUUAAUUGUCAGAGGUGAAAUUCUUGGAUUUAUGAAAGAUGAACUACUGCGAAAGCAUUUACCAAGGAUGUUUUCA
rnacentral:rRNA from 1 species